ACCUGGCUCUGAUACCAUAAC
rnacentral:miRNA from 1 species